rnacentral:rRNA from 1 species
UUUAAUUCGAUGCAACGCGAAGAACCUACCUGGUCUUGACAUCCCGGAGACCCUUAGGAAACUAAGGGGGUGCUUCCAUCUGGAAGAAUCUGGAGACAGGUGCUGCAUGGCUGUCGUCAGCUCGUGUCGUGAGAUGUUGGGUUAAGUCCCGCAACGAGCGCAACCCUUGCCUUUAGUUGCCAGCAGUUCGGCUGGGCACUCUAAAGGGACUGCCGGUGUUAAACCGGAGGAAGGUGGGGAUGACGUCAAGUCCUCAUGGCCUUUAUGACCAGGGCUACACACGUACUACAAUGGCCGAUACAAAGGGCAGCGACACUGCGAGGUGAAGCCAAUCCCGUAAAAUCGGUCUCAGUCCGGAUUGGAGUCUGCAACUCGACUCCAUGAAGUUGGAAUCGCUAGUAAUCGUGGAUCAGCAUGCCACGGUGAAUACGUUCCCGGGCCUU